rnacentral:ncRNA from 2 species
AUCGUAGCAUGAUUGUCCGGCCUCGCAGCAUGAGUUAAAAGGGAAUCCAGUGCAAAUCUGGAGCUGACGCGCAGCGGUAAGGGUAGCCCGGACGAUAGCAUAUAUGCAGACACUGUCAUUAAUGAUGGGAAGUCAUCGUCCUAUUGUUGUUACGAAUAGCUGUCGGAAACAAAAGUAACAACGGCCCCAAGCCCGAAGACCUGCCGGUAUAACGUCGCAACG